rnacentral:lncRNA from 1 species
AAACAGUUUUAUCACAAUGGUUUAGUAAUGCGAGAUCAUGGUUCUGGCAUUAUUACUAGCACCACCAUAGGCACUAAUAAUAAUAUGUAUCACACAGUUUUAGCCAUUUUAAAAAGCAUUAAUUUAAUUUUAUUGUUAAUUUAUAAAAAUGAAAAAAAAGAAAAGAAAAAAGAAUUAAAUAUAAAUAAUUUUAAUAACGAUAUUUAUAUAUUUGAAAAGGGGGUUUUUAUUAAUAUGUCAGAAAUGUACACACUUUUUGAUAAUAUAUUAGACACAUUUUCUGAAAUUGAAGAGUUUGAUAUAUUUUAUUAUAUGUAUCGUUUUUUAAUUAAUAUUCCUGUUGUUUUUAUAAAAAAUUUGAACUUAUUAAAACUGUACAAGAUUUAUAAUGUAUUAUUAAAUAAAUAUUUUUAUAAUCGUAAUAAUGAUAUAGGCAAUUAUGAUAAAGAUUUCAUAUUUUAUUUUAAUAAACUUGGCUUAUGCUUGUUUUGUUACUUUUUAGUAAAUGAUUUAAGUACGUGGUUAAGCUUUUUCAAUUUUGAACAUAUAGAUAUGUGCUUAAAAUCUGACAAACUAGUUUACUAUAAAUUUGAUUUAGAUAAAACCUAUUUCCAUGAUGAAAUAAUUAAAAGCUUGGGCUUGAACAAAAUGCAUAAUAGUUAUAGUGUUAACCAGGCAGACAUUAAUGAAGGGGAACUAUUAAACAAAGUGAAUGAAAAACAAAAUUGCUUACAUAACGAUUCAAAUAAUAUAAUGACAUAUAAUAUUAACUAUUUGAUAAAUGAUAGAGAAAGUAUAUUUUCAUGUGUUGAAGAAAAAAAAGCAUUUAUAGCUAAUUUAGAAAAAUUUGUAUGCUUUUUAUUUGCUUUAAGUAAAGACAAUAUGCUUAUAUUAAGUAUAAUAAAAACUUUUUUUAAAUUUGCGUUUUCAAAUAAAAUUUAUUUUUCUGAAAUCAGUAGCACAACACAUAUUUGGGAAAAAAUUUUUAAUUGUAUUUAUUUCUUAAUUAUAAAAAAUAAAAAUAAAAGAGUAUUUAAUAAUAUAAUGGAUAUAUUAAAUGUUUUGUUAUGUAUUCAUAAUUCAUAUAGUUUUCAAAAUGAAACAGAUAAAAACAUAUUGUUGAACAUAAAAAUGAAUGAAGAAUUACAUAAUGCCUUUCUUGAUAAAAAUGAAAGUAAUGAUUUAAAGAGUAAUAAUUUAGGUUUUGUGUUUAUCUUUUUUUUUAAAAUACGAGAAAAAUCAAAACUGUUUGUAUUUCCUGAUUAUAUCAUUCAAAAUUUGAAGUACUCUAUUAUGCUUCAUUAUCCUCAUUAUUUCUUUGUAGCGUCAUGAUGUUAUAUCGUUAUAGUGUCAUGAUGUUAUGUCGCUAUAGUUUCAUGAUGUUAAAUCGAUAUAUUGUUUCAUAGUGUUCUAAUUUUCUUUUUCAUUUUUUUUUUUAAAAAAAACAAUUUUAUUUACAUAAAUAAUAAGUUAUUAUUUUAUACAUGAACUGUGUCUUUAAUGUACAAAGCAUUUAAAAUAAAAAAAAAAAAAAAAAAAAAAUAUAGAAUAAA